rnacentral:rRNA from 1 species
GACUGUACAAAGGUAGCAUAAUCAUUUGUCUCUUAAUUGGAGUCUAGAAUGAAUGGUCGGAUGAGGGGUAUACUUUCUCUAUUUUAAGUGAAUUAAUUUGAUUUCUAUGUCAAAAAGCAUGGAUAUUAUUAUAGGACGAGAAGACCCUAUAGAACUUUAUUAUCUGAUUUAUAAGCCUGUUUUAGUACUUUAUGAUUUGGGUUUGUGUUUUAUAUAAUUUUAUUGGGGUGAUAGAAAAAACAUUAUAACUUUUUCAUUUUUUUACAUUUAUUUAUGUGAAUAUUUGAUCCUUUUUUAUGGAAUAAAGAUCAAGUUACCUUAGGGAUAACAGCGUUAUUUUAUCAUAGAGUUCAUAUCGAUGAUGAAGUUUGCGACCUCGAUGUUGGAUUAAAAUAAGUGGCAGGGGUAGGUUUUUGCUUACUAGGUCUGUUCGACCUAUAAAUUUUUACA